UGAAACAAUCUGGAACACAGUCUAGAAUGGUGGGAACCUAGAAUUCCUAGAAGGGAGAAAUAGGAGCUACAUCAAUGUAACUGUGAUCUCCUGGGUCUUGGUGCUCCCUCUACCAGUAUCAAACACCCACGCCUUCUUUGUUGGUCUCCAACUGAAGCCUGGGUUACAUCCUGCCCGAAUUUUGAGAGCCAUCACCAACCCUCUUCAUGGAAACUGGAUUCCAUAUCUAGGGAAAACCCAGCAACUACUGCCAAUACCCACUCCUGGCUGGAAGUUGACUCUCCUGUGUAAGAGAACAUGGAUACCACUUCUGUUUAUUGUAGUAUGUAAUUCUUUCUGAACCAUUUAACAUGAAUAAAACCAUGCCACUAUUUAAAUGAGGUUCCUAU
rnacentral:lncRNA from 1 species